UGGGGAAUAUUGGACAAUGGGCGCAAGCCUGAUCCAGCCAUGCCGCGUGAGUGAUGAAGGCCUUAGGGUUGUAAAGCCCUUUCAGUGGGGAAGAUAAUGACGGUACCCACAGAAGAAGUCCCGGCUAACUUCGUGCCAGCAGCCGCGGUAAUACGAAGGGGGCUAGCGUUGUUCGGAUUUACUGGGCGUAAAGCGCACGUAGGCGGUUUGUUAAGUCAGGGGUGAAAUCCCACAGCUCAACUGUGGAACUGCCUUUGAUACUGGCAAGCUAGAGUCCGGAAGAGGUAAGUGGAACUCCUAGUGUAGAGGUGGAAUUCGUAGAUAUUAGGAAGAACACCAGUGGCGAAGGCGGCUUACUGGUCCGGAACUGACGCUGAGGUGCGAAAGCGUGGGGAGCAAAC
rnacentral:rRNA from 1 species